rnacentral:rRNA from 1 species
CUCGAGACUGCGAAAUGGCUCAUUAUAUCAGUUAUAGUUUAUUUGAUAGUCCCUUACUACUUGGAUAACCGUAGUAAUUCUAGAGCUAAUACAUGCGUCAAGAUCCGACUUCGGGAGGAUCGUAUUUAUUAGGUUACAAAACCAACCCUCUCUCGGGAGGUUCUCUGGGUGAGUCAUGAUAAGCAUGCGGAUCGCAGGGCUUCACGCCGGCGACGGAUCAUGUAAGUUCCUGCCCUAUCAGCUUCGGAUGGUAGGGUAUUGGCCUACCAUGGCGUUAACGGGUAACGGGAGAUCAGGGUUUGACUCCGGAGAGGGAGCCUGAGAGACGGCUACCACUUCCAAGGAAGGCAGCAGGCGCGUAAAUUACCCAAUCCUGACACAGGGAGGUAGUGACGAUAAAUAACAAUGCCGGGCCUUUCUAGGUCUGGCAAUUGGAAUGAGAACGAUGCAAACACCCUAUCGANGAUCAAUUGGANGGCAAGUCUGGUGCCAGCA